ensembl:lncRNA
CAGUAUAGGAGUGCUCCCGGGAGCCCAUCUCUCAUCUCUGAAAGAGAUAACUUUGUGGGUUUAGACUUAUCAGACUUUCCCAGGAGAGCCCAGCCAAAUGCAGCUGGUAACCUGAUGAGUUUGGAAUUGCUCUUGGCCUCCAUCUCCUUGUAUAUGCUUCCUUCUGGGACUACUGUGGUUUUUCAGCUUAUCAGUGGUCGAGUUGGCUUCCUUCUGGAUUCUCUCUUCAGCUUAGCUGCCAGAGGAGGGAAGAAAGGUCCUGAAGUCGCUCUAGAGUUGGAGGUUGACAAGCAGGAGGCUGGGUACUAUGUGCUACAGGGAAACAUGAAGAGGUAUAUGGUCAAGCCCUCGUCUCACAAUAAACUUGGGUUUAAAACAAAUAAUUGGAAGAAGGCUCAAUGCUCAACUGGUCAUCUGAACAAUGGAUGGGAUUUGAUCUUUGGGGCAGAGACGUGUGGACAAGCAGUACUGGGCAGAGGUCAAUUGUAUGCCACUGGGGUUGGCUGAAUGGACUUGGGCCUGAAUCCCGGUGCCACUGAGAAGCCAUGUGACCUUGGGCGACCUUCUCUGGUUUCAAUUCUCAGCGAAGGGCAGGGUGAGUAAUUCCUACAUCACAACAAUACAGC